rnacentral:rRNA from 1 species
GUGGAGCCUGCGGCUUAAUUUGACUCAACACGGGAAACCUCACCAGGCCCGGACACCAGAAGGAUUGACAGAUUAAGAGCUCUUUCUCGAUUUGGUGGGUGGUGGUGCAUGGCCGUUCUUAGUUGGUGGAGUGAUUUGUCUGGUUAAUUCCGGUAACGAACGAGACUCUGGCCUACUAAAUAGUCGACGGGCGUUUUGGUGCAUGGGCCCCGUUCGACAAUGUCUUCUUAGAGGGAUGAGCAGCGAGUAUAGCUGCAGGAGAUUGAGCAAUAACAGGUCUGUGAUGCCCUUAGAUGUCCUGGGCCGCACGCGCGCUACACUGAAUGGGUUAGCGGGUCUUCCUUCUCCGAGAGGAGCGGGAAAUCGCGUGAAAACCAUUCGUGAUAGGGACCGGGGCUUGCAAUUGUUCCCCGCAAACGAGGAAUUCCCAGUAAGCGCAAGUCAUCAGCUUGCGUUGAUUAAGUCCCUGCCCUUUGUACACACCGCCCGUCGCUACUACCGAUUGAAUGAUUUAGUGAGGCCUUCGGACUGGCGGUCCUGGACUGGGUUGUCAGUGCUUUCGGGUACUGGCGAGCCGCCUCGACGAGCCGGAAAGAUGUCCAAACUUGAUCAUUUAGAGGAAGUAAAAGUCGUAACAAGGUUUCC